rnacentral:rRNA from 1 species
GACGAACGCUGGCGGCUUGCUUAACACAUGCCAGUCGAACGGAAAGGCCCUGCUUUUGUGGGGGGCUCGAGUGGCGAACGUGUGAGUAACACGUGAGUAACCUGCCCUUGACUUUGGGAUAACUUCAGGAAACUGGGGCUAAUACCGGAUAGGAGCUCCUGCUGCAUGGUGGGGGUUGGAAAGUUUCGGCGGUUGGGGUUGGACUCGCGGCUUAUCAGCUUGUUGGUGGGGUAGUGGCUUACCAAGGCUUUUACGGGUAGCCGGCCUGAGAGGGUGACCGGCCACAUUGGGACUGAGAUAAGGCCCAGACUCCUACGGGAGGCAGCAGUGGGGAAUAUUGCACAAUGGGCGGAAGCCUGAUGCAGCAACGCCGCGUGCGGGAUGACGGCCUUCGGGUUGUAAACCGCUUUCGCCUGUGACGAAGCGUGAGUGACGGUAAUGGGUAAAGAAGCACCGGCUAACUACGUG